rnacentral:rRNA from 1 species
AUUGAACGCUGGCGGCAUGCCUUACACAUGCAAGUCGAACGGCAGCACGGGUGCUUGCCCCUGGUGGCGAGUGGCGAACGGGUGAGUAAUACAUCGGAACAUGUCCUGUAGUGGGGGAUAGCCCGGCGAAAGCCGGAUUAAUACCGCAUACGAUCUACGGAUGAAAGCGGGGGACCUUCGGGCCUCGCGCUAUAGGGUUGGCCGAUAGCUGAUUAGCUAGUUGGUGGGGUAAAGGCCUACCAAGGCGACGAUCAGUAGCUGGUCUGAGAGGACGACCAGCCACACUGGGACUGAGACACGGCCCAGACUCCUACGGGAGGCAGCAGCGGGGAAUUUUGGACAAUGGGCGAAAGCCUGAUCCAGCAAUGCCGCGUGUGUGAAGAAGGCCUUCGGGUUGUAAAGCACUUUUGUCCGGAAAGAAAUCCUUGGCUCUAAUACAGUCGGGGGAUGACGGUACCGGAAGAAUAAGCACCGGCUAACUACGUG